rnacentral:rRNA from 1 species
AACGAACGCUGGCGGCAUGCCUAACACAUGCAAGUCGAACGAGACCUUCGGGCUUAGUGGCGCACGGGUGCGUAACGCGUGGGAACCUGCCCUUAGGUUCGGAAUAACUCCCCGAAAGGGGUGCUCAUACCGGAUAAUGUCUUCGGGCCAAAGAUUUAUUGCCUUUGGAUGGGCCGGCGUUGGAUUAGCUAGUUGGUAGGGUAAAAGCCUACCAAGGCGAUGAUCCAUAGCUGGUCUGUGAGGAUGGUCAGCCACAGUGGGACUGAGACACGGCCCAGACUCGUGCGGGAGGCAGCAGGAGGAAUGAUUGAAGAGCGGACGAAAGCCGGAGCCAGCAAGGCCGCGGGAGGGAGGAAGUCCUGAGGGAAGUAAAUCUCUUUUGCCCGGGAGGAUAAGGACAGUACCGGGAGAAAGAGGUCCGGCUAACUCCGGG